GGGAUGAUAGCUUACUUGCGGUCCGCAGCACUGGUCUGAAAAACCAGAGGGUGAUGGUUCGACUCCAUCUCAUCUCA
rnacentral:tRNA from 1 species